rnacentral:rRNA from 1 species
GAAGCGGGAAGAGCUCAAGCUUAAAAUCUCCAUGUUUACAUGGCGAAUUGUAGUCUAUUGAGGCUGUUGUCAGCAUAGCGAUCUGGGAAAAGUCCCUUGGAAAAGGGCAGCACAGAGGGUGAUACUCCCGUCUUUGCUCAGAUUGUCUGUGUGUACGAUACGCUUUCUUUGAGUCGAGUUGUUUGGGAAUACAGCUCAAAGUAGGUGGUAAAUUCCAUCUAAAGCUAAAUAUUGGUGCGAGACCGAUAGCGAACAAGUACCGUGAGGGAAAGAUGAAAAGAACUUUGAAAAGAGAGUUAAAGAGUACCUGAAACUGUUGAAAGGGAACCGUAUCGUUUCCAGUGUUGUAUCCUGUGCAUAUUUCAUUGGCGGAGUAAUUUGCUGGUGCCCUGUGCAUGGGUGUGACGUCMGARUCAGUUUGUAUGCUGCGGGAGAUGGUUAGGGAGAAGGUGCGUCACUUCGGUGAAAGUUAUAGCUCUCUAACUAGUUGCCGUGGUUGAGACUGAGGUGCCUACAACAUGCCUUGGGGUUCCGUGCUGCCUCGUUUUGGUGACUGCUUGGAUAGCUUGCUAUGUCUGUGGUUAAUCAGGGCGAUUGGUGGUGCGGAAA